UACAGAGGGUGCGAGCGUUAAUCGGAAUUACUGGGCGUAAAGCGUGCGUAGACGGUUAUGUAAGUCGGAUGUGAAAGCCCCGGGCUCAACCUGGGAAUGGCAUUCGAGACUGCAUAGCUAGGAUGCGGAAGAGGGAAGUGGAAUUUCCGGUGUAGCGGUGAAAUGCGUAGAUAUCGGAAGGAACAUCAGUGGCGAAAGCGACUUCCUGGUCCAGCAUCGACGUUCAGGCACGAAAGCGUGGGGAGCAAGCAGG
rnacentral:rRNA from 1 species